rnacentral:rRNA from 1 species
CCUACGGGUGGCAGCAGUGGGGAAUAUUGCACAAUGGGGGAAACCCUGAUGCAGCGACGCCGCGUGAGUGAAGAAGUAUUUCGGUAUGUAAAGCUCUAUCAGCAGGGAAGAAAAUGACGGUACCUGACUAAGAAGCCCCGGCCAACUACGUGCCAGCAGCCGCGGUUAUACGUAGGGGGCAAGCGUUAUCCGGAUUUACUGGGUGUAAAGGGAGCGUAGACGGCAGAGCAAGUCUGAAGUGAAAGCCCGCGGCCCAACUGCGGGACUGCUGUGGAAACUGCCCGGCUAGAGUGCUGGAGAGGUAAGCGGAAUUCGUAGUGUAGCGGUGAAAUGCGUAGAUAUUAGGAAGAACACC